rnacentral:rRNA from 1 species
AUUGAACGCUGGCGGCAUGCCUUACACAUGCAAGUCGAACGGCAGCAUGGAGAGCUUGCUCUCUGAUGGCGAGUGGCGAACGGGUGAGUAAUGCAUCGGAACGUACCGUGUCAUGGGGGAUAACGUAGCGAAAGUUACGCUCAUACCGCAUACGACCUGAGGGUGAAAGCAGGGGAUCGCAAGACCUUGCGUUAUACGAGCGGCCGAUGUCAGAUUAGCUAGUUGGUGAGGUAAAGGCUCACCAAGGCGACGAUCUGUAGCGGGUCUGAGAGGAUGGCCCGCGACACUGGGACUGAGACACGGCCCAGACUCCGACGGGAGGCAGCAGUGGAGAAUUUUGGACAAUGGGGGCAACCGGGAUCCAGCAAGGCCGCGUGAGGGAAGAAGGCCUUCGGGUUGUAAAGCUCUUUUGUCAGGGAAGAAACACCGGCUCUAGCACAGUCCGGGAAUGACGGUACCUGAAGAAUAAGCACCGGCUAACUACGUGCCAGCAGCCGCCGUAA